AUUGAACGCUGGCGGCAGGCCUAACACAUGCAAGUCGAACGAGUGGCGGACGGGUGAGUAAUGUCUGGGAAACUGCCCGAUGGAGGGGGCUAACUACUGGAACCGGUAGCUAAUACCGCAUACCAUCGGAUGUGCCCCGAGGGGUUUAGCUUGGAGGUGGGGUAAAGGCUCACCAAGGCGACGAUCCCUAGCUGGGCUGAGAGGAUGACCAGCCACACUGGAACUGAGACACGUGCCAGACUCCUACGGGAGGCAGAAGUGGGGAAUAUUGCACAAUGGGCGCAAGCCUGAUGCAGCCAUGCCGCGUGUAUGAAGAAGGCCUUCGGGUUGUAAAGUACUUUCAGCGAGGAGGCGUUACUCGCAGAAGAAGCACCGGCUAACUCCGUGCCAGCAGCCGCGGUAAUUC
rnacentral:rRNA from 1 species